GGGUACUCGAGUGGCGAACGGGUGAGUAACACGUGGGUGAUCUGCCCUGCACUCUGGGAUAAGCCUGGGAAACUGGGUCUAAUACCGGAUAUGACCAACUGUCGCAUGGUGGUUGGUGGAAAGCUUUUGCGGUGUGGGAUGGGCCCGCGGCCUAUCAGCUUGUUGGUGGGGUAAUGGCCUACCAAGGCGACGACGGGUAGCCGGCCUGAGAGGGUGAUCGGCCACACUGGGACUGAGACACGGCCCAGACUCCUACGGGAGGCAGCAGUGGGGAAUAUUGCACAAUGGGCGCAAGCCUGAUGCAGCGACGCCGCGUGAGGGAUGACGGCCUUCGGGUUGUAAACCUCUUUCACCAGGGACGAAGCGUGAGUGACGGUACCUGGAGAAGAAGCACCGGCCAACUACGUGCCAGCAGCCGCGGUAAUACGUAGGGUGCGAGCGUUGUCCGGAAUUACUGGGCGUAAAGAGCUCGUAGGCGGUUUGUCGCGUCGUCUGUGAAAUUCUGUAACUCAAUUGUAGGCGUGCAGGCGAUACGGGCAGACUUGAGUACUACAGGGGAGACUGGAAUUCCUGGUGUAGCGGUGAAAUGCGCAGAUAUCAGGAGGAACACCGGUGGCGAAGGCGGGUCUCUGGGUAGUAACUGACGCUGAGGAGCGAAAGCGUGGGUAGCGAACAGGAUUAGAUAGCCUGGUAGUCCACGCCGUAAACGGUGGGUACUAGGUGUGGGUUCCUUUUCACGGGAUCC
rnacentral:rRNA from 1 species